rfam:Freshwater sediment metagenome lwFormaldehyde_BHFI7908_g1, whole genome shotgun sequence.
GUUACCGUGAGGUAGGGUCUGAAGGUAGCGCGGAGCAAACCCACGACCUGACGAACAGAAACCAGAUAUGAGGCCUAACGCUGGGACGAGCGGGCGUAUGACUGCGAAGUCCAUAGCCAUCAAGCGGCGGGACGGUAGAUCUGGCGGGUGCGUGGGGAAGGCGGUCAAA